rnacentral:rRNA from 1 species
UGUACACACCGCCCGUCGCUACUACCGAUUGAACGGCUCAGUGAGGCGUUCGGACUGGCUUGAGGAGGUUGGCAACGACCACCUUAAGCCGGAAAGUUCGUCAAACUCGGUCAUUUAGAGGAAGCAAAAGUCGUAACAAGGUUUCCGUAGGUGAACCUGCGGAAGGAUCAUUA